AGUAAAAAUAAUGGAAAAGAAGUUCAAGAAAUGCGUCUUACUAUUCGCAUCAAAAACUGUUACCGUCUCGAGUGUUUCAAGAUAUCCUGGACGUUGGGAAAAGCAAGGCCAUAUUUUUACCAGAUGUUUUGAUAACUGGAUGGAUCUGACGUUGUUUAACAGUCGAAUGAGACAGACGGUAAUGAAUCAUGGGUAAGAAGGAUUCGGAAAGUGGCUCCCAAGACCUGCUGUUCCGGAAUUUGUCUGCUGUACUGAGAGCAACAGCGGUCAGAAUACAAGGAAACUUUACCGAGAAUAGAACUCGGUACUUGAAGUCCACAGUGAAUUUGAAACAUUCAUUUUCUGUGUGCUACUAGUAGUUUAUAUGAUAUCUGAAGACGACAUUUCAAGAAAAAUAAAUUCUAAGCUUUAAAAGAGUCAAUUAAGUGUCGAAUGGUGAAUCGGUCUAUUACAAAAAAAAGUGAUAUACACGUUUCUAUUAAGAUAUUAUGGUAGACAAGCACGUAAGCUAAAUCAGAAAAAUAUAAAACAUGUUCAGAAAUUUAAAGGGGAAACAUUUUGAAUGACAGGGAGAAAGCUCCUAUGAUGAUGCAAAGUUCUAUAAAAUAUAUUUUAAAGAAAUUGGCAGUGAAAAUUUAAACCGGAGUGAAUUGGCUGGUGAUAUCAUAGCUUUAGUAAAAGUGUUUAAUCUGUUGUCAGAUAAACAUUAUUGAUUAGAUUCUUUGUUACUUAAAUACAUAUAUUUUUGGACAUAGACGUCAGGUAGUCUCACACGAUUCAAAAGUGAUUAUAAAAGGUGUUUACGGAACGAUAUUUUAAAAGAACAGUAGCGAUUUAUUUAUAGAUAAGUGUCCAUGCUCUGGAGGAAAUGAAGAAUGUAUCAGGACGUUACCGUCCAGCUAACCUGCCAAGAUCCAUGACAGAGGCGAAACUUCAGGAGAUAGCAAGCGUUGUUAUGACUUGCCGAGUUUCUCCACGACAGUUGUAACUACAUCCUGGUGCGGAAUCUGGGCCUCCGUGGUAAGACAAGAAAUGUCUUCUUAGCUGUCUGACAUCACCGUAGACAAUUAAUCGAAAUCAUCGUCUGACGUUUGAACCACUGCAAUUGAUACUGAAUCGUUAAAUGUCUACAACCCUGUUUCGAAAGACUGUGUAUGUGGUCCAGGUGGUAUGAGGGACGUGAGUCAGCUGCAGUCGUGAAAGAUGUGUCCAGCGAGGAGAAAAUUCCCCUCCCCUAGUCGAAGUCCAGGCAGACUGUAAUUGCUAACUUAUAGGCUGACGGCUCCAUCAAACACGGGGAUGAAACUCACCAAGGGGCAGAAGCCAUACGACAUUAAACAAUUCCCAUGCUGGCUCUAAAGGAAUGCAAUUGCUUUUUGUGUAUUAUUGAGUCCGCUGCUCUAAAAAAAA